AAUGAACGCUGGCGGCGUGCCUAACACAUGCAAGUCGCACGAGAAAGUCUGCCUUCGGGCGGGCGAGUAAAGUGGCGCACGGGUGAGUAACGCGUAGGUAAUCUACCCCCGGAACCGGGAUAACAGUGCGAAAGUGCUGCUAAUACCGGAUACGAUCUUUUGGCGGGAGCUGAAAGGUGAAAGUCGGCCUCUCGAAGAAGCCGGUGCUCGGGGAUGAGCCUGCGUCCUAUCAGCUAGUUGGCAGGGUAAUGGCCUACCAAGGCGACGACGGGUAGCUGGUCUGAGAGAAUGAUCAGCCACACUGGCACUGAAACACGGGCCAGACUCCUACGGGAGGCAGCAGUGAGGAAUUUUGCGCAAUGGGAGCAAUCCUGACGCAGCAACGCCGCGUGGGUGAUGAAGGCCUUCGGGUCGUAAAGCCCUGUCAGGUGGGAAGAAUGUCCCGGAAUUGAACAGGUUUCGGGAGUGACGGUACCACCAGAGGAAGCACCGGCUAACUCCGUGCCAGCCGCCGCUGUAAGAC
rnacentral:rRNA from 1 species